UUGUCCCCUCCAAUAAUAUAGCCGGUGUGAACUCAGUGCUUCCAAAACACUUCCUUCCCCAAAACUCUCUACCUGCCCAGGCGCUUGUCAUUCAAUCAAAGAGUUUCCUUGAGAUGGGUCGCUGUGGGUGCUGUUGUGCAUGCUCGACGCAAUUGUUCUCUUUCAUUUAAUUCCUAGAAUAUGUUGCAUACAUAAUGGCGGAUGAUGCAUGUUUCUAUGUGCUGCAUACAUAACCGUUGGAGGAUCAGGAAACAGCUCCUGCAAAGUGCUUGAGCUAUAGUGAUAAAAAUCGUUUUUUAAUUGGUGAAUUGGUUCUGGCCUGUUUGUCUUUCUUUCUGGGAAGCUGUGGAAUUUGGGUAUCGCAACUGGUUUUCAGGAGUUUGUUGGUCAUUUCAGAGGUUUCAAAGAAACAAGAUACUGCACAGCACUUGAUUCGUCGAGCCUAUACUUUCAGGAUUUGCUAAGAAACCAGGUCUUUAAAACUGGUGUUGUUAUGGACGACCAGCUGGACACUGCAUCAGGUGGGUUACAAAGCUGUCUCCCAGUUCAUGAUGCAUGGCCCAUGUGGAGCAGCAAAUCCUAAAUGCCCCUGCAUGUCCAAUGGCCAAUGCACAAAACAUUAUCCAAAAAAUUUUAGUGACGUAACGGUUAUGGAUGCAGACGGCUAUGCCAGGUAUAGGAGGCGGGAUACAAAACAAACCGUGGAGUGCAAUAAUAUACACUUGGAU